rnacentral:rRNA from 1 species
GACGUAGGGUGCAAGCGUUGUCCGGAUUUAUUGGGCGUAAAGAGCUCGUAGGCGGCUUGUUGCGUCGACUGUGAAAACCCGCGGCUUAACCGCGGGCUUGCAGUUGAUACGGGCAGGCUAGAGUUCGGUAGGGGGAGACUGGAAUUCCUGGUGUAGCGGUGAAAUGCGCAGAUAUCAGGAGGAACACCGGUGGCGAAGGCGGGUCUCUGGGCCGAUACUGACGUGAGGAGCGAAAGCGUGGGGAGCGAACAGG